UGUAAAUGAACAUCAUCACUGGACAUUAGUGGUCAUUUACCCACAAGAAAAGAAGUCGCUGUAUCUUGAUCCACUCGGAGAAACUAAACAAGGUAUCCAAAAUUGUUUGGAAUCAACAAGGGCAUUCAUGCGAAAAAAAA